CUGGCUCAGGAUGAACGCUGGCGGCGUGCUUAACACAUGCAAGUCGAACGAUUAAGACGGCUUCGGCCGUGCAUAGAGUGGCGAACGGGUGAGUAACACGUGACCAACCUGCCCCGCGCUCCGGGACAACCGCUGGAAACGGCGGCUAAUACCGGAUGCUCCGGGGAGGCCCCAUGGCCUCCCCGGGAAAGCCCCGACGGCGCGGGAUGGGGUCGCGGCCCAUUAGGUAGACGGCGGGGUAACGGCCCACCGUGCCCGCGAUGGGUAGCCGGACUGAGAGGUCGACCGGCCACAUUGGGACUGAGAUACGGCCCAGACUCCUACGGGAGGCAGCAGUGGGGAAUUUUGCGCAAUGGGGGGAACCCUGACGCAGCAACGCCGCGUGCGGGACGAAGGCCUUCGGGUUGUAAACCGCUUUCAGCAGGGAAGACUUUGACGGUACCUGCAGAAGAAGCUCCGGCUAACUACGUGCCAGCAGCCGCGGUAAUACGUAGGGGGCGAGCGUUAUCCGGAUUCAUUGGGCGUAAAGCGCGCGUAGGCGGCCCGGCAGGCCGGGGGUCGAAGCGGGGGGCUCAACCCCCCGAAGCCCCCGGAACCUCCGCGGCUUGGGUCCGGUAGGGGAGGGUGGAACACCCGGUGUAGCGGUGGAAUGCGCAGAUAUCGGGUGGAACACCGGUGGCGAAGGCGGCCCUCUGGGCCGAGACCGACGCUGAGGCGCGAAAGCUGGGGGAGCGAACAGGAUUAGAUACCCUGGUAGUCCCAGCCGUAAACGAUGGACGCUAGGUGUGGGGGGACGAUCCCCCCGUGCCGCAGCCAACGCAUUAAGCGUCCCGCCUGGGGAGUACGGCCGCAAGGCUAAAACUCAAAGGAAUUGACGGGGGCCC
rnacentral:rRNA from 1 species